UACGGGGGAUGCAAGCGUUAUCCGGAAUCAUUGGGCGUAAAGCGCCUGUAGGUUGUUUAAUAAGUCUGUUGUUAAAGCCUAGGGCUUAACCCUAGAAAAGCAAUGGAAACUAUUAGACUAGAGUAUGGUAGGGGUAGAGGGAAUUUCUAGUGUAGCGGUGAAAUGCGUAGAUAUUAGAAAGAACACCGGUGGCGAAAGCGCUCUACUGGACCAUUACUGACACUCAGAGGCGAAAGCUAGGGUAGCAAAAGGGAUUAGAUACCCCUGUAGUCCUAGCCGUAAACGAUGGAUACUAGAUGUUGUGCAUUAAGGACAGUAUCGUAGCUAACGCGUUAAGUAUCCCGCCUGGGGAGUACGCUCGCAAGGGUG
rnacentral:rRNA from 1 species